GAUGAACGUUGGCGGAGUGCCUAACGCAUGCAAGUCGAGCGGCAGCACGAGUAGUUUACUACUUGGUGGCGAGCGGCGGACGGCUGAGUAACGCGUGGGAACGUGCCCCAAAGUGAGGAAUAACUGCCCGAAAGGGUGGCUAAUACCGCAUAUGAUCUUCGGAUUAAAGUAUUUAUUACGCUUUGGGAGCGGCCUGCGUC
rnacentral:rRNA from 1 species